GUUCUCAUAGAUAUAUUUUGAUUAUCUUAUCUAUGAUUUUGACUCCUAGAGUAAUGAUGAUAAAACUUCCUGGUGAAAUAUAUCUAAUGUAAUUGCCUCGCAUCUGAAUAUGAAAUCCUGACCCUUGUUAAUUAGAACUUUGGUUGAGCACUGGUUUGGUGUAUUUGUUGGCAAACACAGUGCAACAGUGCCUUGAUAAUCUCUCUCUUUUCUUUUGUUAAAUUUUCCUUAUUUUUGGUCAAUUUUUUGUUAUUUGACUUUCUGUUGUUCUGGUGUAACUACUAGUCCUCUCAUUAUUUUCUGUCAUAUCCAAAGUCUUCUGUAGGAACACUUUGGUGGUAUGUGACAAAGAUAAGAUACGCUCUUGAUGCUCGAAGAUGUGACGCAUUGUGUAAUGAAUAUUCUUCAAAAUGAAGAAGGAAAGAUCUGCAGUUGGAAGUUAUCUUGAUGCACUCAAUGCAAGAAGUCAUAUCAUGCAAAAAAAAUUGAUAUCUGCAAUCACUUUAUCCCGAUAAAUGCAGCUGGUCUUAUUAGCAUAGGGUACAUACUUUAUGGUCCCAGGAAUACUGUCCAAGUCAUGAGCAUGAUGGAACUCUACGAUGGAAUACUUUUCUCGCCAGGAGCAUCAUCACAUGCCUGAAACUCCAGGUCUCUGUCUCGCUGAGGAACAAACAGUCAGCAGUAUAUUGAGGCGACCAUGGACAGGAGGAAUCAAGUAAUUGCCAUGAAAAUGGAGCCUUAUAAUUAACUCACCAUUGUGAAGUGACUGCAAUCCUCAUUUUAUGUGGUCUUCCAAGGUUACUGACUUGAUUGGUAUUGGCGCAUGACAUGAUGCAUGCUUGUGUGCGACUUAAUGAAUAUUCUGCAAAAUGAAGAAGAAAAGAAACCUGUGCAGUUGGAAGUUAUCUUGAUGUACUGAAUGCAAGACAACAAAUGCAACUUAGGAAAAUAAUGCAGCUACGGAGAUCCUCAGAAAUUCUUAUUGCAAACGGAAUCACUGAAGACGUUCUUCCAUACUCGAUUCCGGUAUGCAUGUGAAUACAUGAUUACAUGAGAAGCUUCUUCUUUUUCCUUGGUGCACAAGAGUACGAUGCAAUGUUUCACGUAGAUUGUCUUUGUUGGAAUUGGUGAAUUAUAGUGAAAAAAGUUUGUGGGCGGUUGGGAUUCGAGUCCUAAGAGCAGAGUUUGGAAUCAGAUUUGAUUCUCUUUUAAAAAAGAACAAAGAAAAAAAGAGCUUGGGUAGUUGCCUAACCCACAGUGCUAACAGCAGUUGAAGUGCCAUUCCUACUUUUACAUACUAAUCUCAUCGUUCAUUCUAUUUUAAUUGUUAUUGAAGAUUAUUUGAUGUAUUGACCGAUUUCUUGAUAUAUUUAAUGUAAUGCUGUGAUUUCA